rnacentral:rRNA from 1 species
GUGUCAGCAGCCGCGGUAAUACGGGGGGUGCGAGCGUUGUCCGGAAUCACUGGGCGUAAAGGGCGCGUAGGUGGUCUUAUAAGGGUGUGGUGAAAGCCCGGGGCUCAACCCCGGGUCGGCCGUGCCGACUGUAAGACUAGAGUGCUGUAGGGGCAGGCGGAAUUCCGGGUGUAGCGGUGGAAUGCGUAGAGAUCCGGAGGAAGACCGGUGGCGAAGGCGGCCUGCUGGGCAGAUACUGACACUGAGGCGCGACAGCGUGGGGAGCAAACAGGAUUAGAUACCCUGGUAGUCCACGCCGUAAACGAUGGGUACUAGGUGCCUGGGGGAGCGACCCCUUGGGUGCCGGCGCUAACGCAGGAAGUACCCCGCCUGGGGAGUACGGCCGCAAGGCUGAA